GAUGAACGCUGGCGGCGUGCCUAAUACAUGCAAGUCGAGCGAACAGAUAAGGAGCUUGCUCCUUUGACGUUAGUGGCGGACGGGUGAGUAACACGUGGAUAACCUACCUAUAAGACUGUGAUAACUUCGGGAAACCGGAGCUAAUACCGGAUAACAUAUUGAACCGCAUGGUUCAAUAGUGAAAGGCGGCUUUGCUGUCACUUAUAGAUGGAUCCGCGCCGUAUUAGCUAGUUGGUAAGGUAACGGCUUACCAAGGCAACGAUACGUAGCCGACCUUAGAGGGUGAUCGGCCACACUGGAACUGAGACACGGUCCAGACUCCUACGGGAGGCAGCAGUAGGGAAUCUUCCGCAAUGGGCGAAAGCCUGACGGAGCAACGCCGCGUGAGUGAUGAAGGUCUUCGGAUCGUAAAACUCUGUUAUCAGGGAAGAACAAAUGUGUAAGUAACUGUGCACAUCUUGACGGUACCUGAUCAGAAAGCCACGGCUAACUACGUGCCAGCCGCCGCAGUAA
rnacentral:rRNA from 1 species